AGUAUUGGAGGAUAACUCUGCCCGUUGCCAGGAAUUUAUCCUGACUGGCUCAAGGCUGACUUAGCCUUCCAUCCUUCUGAGUCUCUGCCACCACCCACAGAAGAAAAAUAUCCAAGACGGAAACAGCAUCAGGAGGCCUGCACCACAGUAACAAAGCACAUGAGCAAUGCUUCCAGUUACAGCCCUUGGGACAGACUUUGUUUGAUAUCUCCUACUUAGUAAGCAAAAGAAGAAUGGGAGUGGCCAGUAAGCAUAUAAAUAAAGGUGGUGCCGGCAACAAGAUGGCAAAAACAUG